GCCUGCAGAGUGCAAAAGGUUUUGCUUAUCCUCAGCAGAAAAGUGAUGGAUUUCCAAAUAACAAAUAAUGGCACUAUGGUAUAUAGUAUGAAAACUAUUUUUUCAUCACAAAUAAUAUGAAGAGUGUAGUAUUUUCUUCCCAAAACGUUUUUCCUCUCAAUGGAGUCGAUCAAUCAGUACGAGACUUCACAUAUGAGACAGUAAAAUAAGAUCAUAAAACUUUACCAUAAAGCAUAGUACAGAAUAUAAUACCGUUGAUAUUCCAAUAGUUGAACGGAUUUUACUGUAGACCAGUUUAUUUGCCAGCAUAUGAACUGGAUAUAAUAUUGUAGCCAUAAUUCUUGCCCAUAGCCAAUCCAACAUUGCAUAGAGAUAGGAAGGUGCUUUCUGAUUCUUGGUUAAACAUUUACCCUAUAAACAUAUUGUACAAAAUUUAUUAUCAUUGGUCAACAAUAGAAUUACUAUGAUAGAACAUGUUUGUUUCAAACUAUUUUAUGAAAAAGUAUCUUUUUAGGAUAUAUUUUUUUUUAAUUUCUUUUGUUCAGCAUUUGGAAAUAAUCAUAAUCUGAGAAAGAUAUGAAAUAUAGAGAUGAUGACCAGACCUCAUAAAUUCGCUUGCACUCCAUGUAUCCUAAGCUGACCCUUAUGAAUGUGAGAGCGACAAGCUUUCUAACAAGUGAGCUUGUAGAUAUCUGCUUCAUGAUCCCACUACAGAGGAACCAAAAACAAAAACAAAUGUUAUUAUUCACUGGUGGCAUUAAAUAGAACAAACUAUAUUCUUCUUACAAUUCCUGAGAAAAGGAGUUACCUGUAUAAAGUUUCAAAAACUAAAGGAACAGAAACCAUUAAAUGUGGUUUAUAACGUCCCAAAUCAUCCUAGAUCAAAAUAAAGUACAUGAUAUUAAUCAAAUGAAGCCAUGAGUGUUCUUUUAUGGCAUACAGUACCGUGCGUUAAGGUUUAAAUAAAUGAUUAGAUUAAUAAUACCUUCAAGUUUCUUACAGUAGUGUAUAUAUGUUCAAGACCACGUGAGAAAACUAAAUACUCGCAAGCUCUUUCAUAUGCAUGCCAAGGAGGCAACAUACUUAGAAAUUUAUCUCCAGCUUCAGUAGUAGGUACAACGUCCGAUAAGUGUUUGAUCUAGAAAUUCAUUCACACGUAAUAGCCAUAUGUGAAAAGCCAAGAAUUAUAGCCUUGUAAGAGUUCUAUUAAAAAUCAAAUAGCUUGUCUGAAAAUACUAAAAUAACAUUGCCACAGUAAAGUUUAUGACAGAUUUGCAAUCAAACCUGAUGCAAAAGAUUCUGAUGGGUUAGCAUAACACCUUUAGGAUUUCCAGUAGUACCACUUGUGUACACAAGAGUAGCAAUGUCAUCCAAUUUUAUUGUUUCAAAGAUAUAGUGUUCUCCUGCAAUCACAUUGUAGAUGAGUUUGUUGUGAACCUGAUUACUGUUCCUUUUGAUGAUUAAGAGAAAGACUAAUAGGUAUGAAUGUAUAUUACAGAGAAGGUGCAGGUGGCAUACUAGCAUCAUCGGAGGUGUGCAAUGCCCUGCGACUUUGACGCCCAAAAUUUAUGACUUCCAUGAAUGUAUAGAUUGGCACCCCUUUGUCUGCUUCAUUGACAAGGCUUGAUUUUUCUCCCCAAAGCAGAAUAAUAAAUCUGAUUGAGGUCUUCAAAUAAAAUGGUUUUGCAAUCUGAUUAUACAUUUCAGGAUUGUCCACAGCUAGUGCAACACUUUCAGAGUGGUUGUAUAUUUGCAGUAGUUCUUCAAUUGAUGACCUUGAACCCCUAACCACAUUGAUUGCUCCAAUUGCCAUCAUGCCUAGACUAAACACAUAGCAAUAUAGCAUGGAUGUGAUUAAACUGUAACUGACAUAACUACCACUAUAUAUGAUCACCACUUUGCAUGCUUUUAAGAAUUAAUUUUGUUUCACUUUAACCAAACAUGUUUUAUUUUAGAAUUGGCAUUUGAAAAUUAACAAAAACUGAAAAAUUGCAACCACCCCAAACAGGACCUUAGGUAAUAAAUUCACAAAAUUUUGCACACCUUGAUCUGCUACAAGCCAGCGACACGAGUUAUCAGCAAAAAGAGCAAUUUUCUCAUCAGGUUUUACUCCAAUAACUCUCAACCCCUCAGCAAAGUUUAAUAUUGCAUCCUUCAACUGAAAUGUUGUUAAGAAAAAUUGACAUAUGAUAUAACAUACAACCGAAUGAGAUUUCAUAAGAUAAGUUUCACAGAUGAUUCAAAUUGAAACAAAAAUCAUUCAUUAUGUCAUCAAGCCCAUAAAACUUUAAAAUAAUUUGAAAUUGCUUUACCCUAUCAAUAAAUCUUGAGACUAACGUACAAAAUUACAUAGUUUUAACAUACAUUCAAUAAUCAAAGUUUCAAAAGGACCACAUGCAUAUUCUACAAGACAAUGGUUUAAGAGCAUGAAGUCAAAAAAAGAGUCAAUUGAGUCAACAUAGUAAGAUAAUGUUUAUCUGAUAUCUAUGUCCCACCACCAAUAAAACUCAACCAUAUCUCCUAAAAUAAAACAAACGAAACCACACAAAGAUCAUUGAUUAAAGCCGGUGCUUAUUCUUCUAAACUGUUACUCUAUAUUAUAGGACAUGCUUAUUACCUAAGUAAACCUGAAAAAUAGUUAUAUAAAUAUAUAUAUAUAUAUAUAUAUAUAUAUAUAUAUAUAUAUAUAUAUAUAUAUAUAUAUAUAUAUAUAUAUUGCAUUCUACUACAUGUAAAGAAUUCCAUCAUCUACUUUGAACCAAACUCUACUCUAACCAUACCCAAUAACAGUAAAUUUAGUGAUACAACCGUGUUCCAUGCUAUCAACCUAGUAAGAAAAAAAAACCUGUUUGUAUGUCAUAGUUGAAGGAGGAUCAUGAUAUUGAUCUACCAAAGCUACUUUAUCACCAUACUUCUCUGCAGAAGUUCUCCAAAUAUCAGGAACAGCUUUCCACUCAUCUAAAGCCACACCACCAUUACCGGAACUUUCUAAUAAAGGGGAAAACCUUCUUAUCUCCGUUUUCUUUGUCUGCAUAUAUACAAUACUUUGUGAUUGGAAAUUGUAAGAUAAAAUUAACCAAUAUGACAUUAACAACAAAUAUAAUGCCAAUACAUAAUUAUUACAUAUCCUGAAAUACUGCAGGCAUGUUUAUCAUAGAAGCGGUUGUGUACGAGGUGUUAGCUUAAUUAGUGGUAAGAGUUUAACUUUUUAAUUUUAUACAAGACAAUUGUAAAAUGGUCAUUAGCGUUGCGUCUUAUUAAUAAUAGUUUUCCCUUCCACAACUUCUAUAAAGUUACCUUGGAUUGAGUAUGGCAAAAGACGCGAAAAGAAGAGGUUGGAGAAAUGUUGAUGGUGGUGGUGAAGUUGGUGCGAGCAAAGAAGAGAGGAAGUGAAUGGAUGGAAGAAGCAUAGUUGUAGUUAGAGGAGGUGAUAGGAAUUCCCGCCAUUGGAAUUUGGCAGAAGAAGAAGAGAUAAUGGAAUGGAAUGAAUGCAGAGAACGUAAGAGAUAUUAUUGUUAAUAUGAACAAGUAGUAGCGAGAAUGAGAAAAGUAGUUUGGUCCAACUUAUAUUUAUGUCAGUUUUUGGUGCAUGAUGAGGGUCCAAUCUGUGUAACUGUUGAAAUUUGUAAAUCAUUUAUUAUUUAUUAUAGUAUAUACUAUUUAUUCUUGAAUUUUUCAAGAAAACGUUAAAUCGGUUUCCAUUAAUUUUUUGAAAAAGAAAUAUUCAGUGUGGGAAGAAUUGUAAUGUAGAUAUCGCCCUUACAUGGUGGCACGGUCAUUUAUUAUUACAAUUGCCAUCAAAAUAAUCCUAAAUUUUAGAAAGAUAAAUGCUUACAUCACUCUUUUUCAAAUCUCUUUUCAACUCAACUCUACUAUUGAGUGAAAUUAAUCAGAGUUUCACCAUUUUAUGGAAAGUCCAUUUUUAAGAUAUGAUACUCACAUAAAUUUCAUCUAAUAAAAUAGUGGAUGUUAGAGAAUAUUGUUAAAGAAAAAAAAAAAGUGUCAUAGCAUUUUCCUUUUCCAAAAAUAGAUCUUAGGUGUAAUUUUUAUGAGUGUCUCACUAUUAAAAAUGAGAGAGAAACAUAUAAAACAUCGAAAUGAUAUUUUUUUUUCUUUUUAUUUUGAAUGGUUAGAAAUUAUACAUUACUUUAUAAUUUGAAGAUCACACAUGAGAUGAUCUAGUUCCUUAAAUUUUCAUAAAGAAAUUUAGACUUCACCGGUAACAAAAUUAACUACUUCCAAACUUGUUAAGAUAAUUAUUCACAUUUACUCUUAUUAAUCUCAUUUAAAAUUAAAACUUAAACAUCAUUAUCUAAAUUAUCCCUCAUUUUAUUAAAUUCUAUAACAAAAAUCAUUAUCUUUUAAGGACAUUUUUUUAUACUGUAUCACUAAAGAUGAUUAAAAGAGUUUAUUUUUGCUUGCAUUUUAUUACAACCGUGAGAUGUGUCAAAUUUUGCUGAUUUUUUUUUUUAAAAAGAGAGAGUACAUUUCUAACUCAUACGUUGUUGAUUUUUAUUAUGGAGAGUACAACUCGUAUGUUAGAUAUAUUUAAAUCUUAAUUAAGCUUGGUUCAAUAUUGUAUAUAAGGUAGUUUUUUUUUCCUUCGAUAUGAUGCACUAAAACUCAUGCACAAGUUUACAAAGGGAUUUUAACAUUUUUUGUAUAUUGUACAGAGGUAGUUUUUUUUUUACUCUCUUGCACAAGUUCAUUAGUGUACCAUACAUCGAUUUUCAGAUGAUUCCUACACUAUCAUUUUUUUGGACAAUGAAUCAUAAAAUCAAACUUUCUAUAAAAAAAAAAAUUGUCGGGAGAUGAUUCUAAUUCUAUAUAUUUUUCUUUUAUCUUCCUUGUUUCAUGUCUAUGUGAAAACACCUUUACAUAAUUAUCCUUUUUUUUUUUCCUUCAAUUUUGAACCGUCCAUUUCGGUUCCAAUUUGUUUUGUUUGGACUUUGGACAUCGACCUCUGAAUUCUUUCUUGCACGGAUCUCUUCCAUUUAUUUAUGGUUGAGAAAACUUGGGUACAAUUCAUUAUCGUAUGAUUUUCUUCAAAUUCAUAAUUUUCUUAAAUCCAUAAUUUUCUUAAAGUUUGUUAUAUACAAAAAAUAUGUAUUUUUAGUUAAGAACCAUACGAAAAACACCUAAUGAAUUGUACCUAAGUUUUCUCCUCAAGUAAAACGCUUAAUUGAUGUUUUACACCAACCAUAGAAGAUUAAGUGUGUGUUUGGUAUGGCGGUGACGAGAAUUGAUUUUGAUAGAAUUGAAUUUGAGAGAAUUGAUUUUGGUUAAAAGUGGGUUUGAGGUGAAUUGAUUAUGUUUGGAUACACUUGUUUGAAAGUGAUUCUUAUGAGUUGAUUUCGUUUGGAUAGUUUGAAUCAAAAUUAAUUUUGAAUGUAAAAUGACAAAAUUAUCCUUUUAAUUGUAUUUAAAACUAAACAUCCCAUUCUUAUUUUAGAUACUUAUUUGAACUUAUCUAAAAUCAUAAAUGGAUUUUUAUUGGUUCAAAAUUUUAUUUUAAAAUAAAUGGAUAUAUAUAUAUAUAUAUAUAUCAGUUUAUAAAAAUCUUUUUUUUUUAGAAAAUUUAUAAGAUUUUUUAAAAAAUAUAUUUUUUAUCAACUUGGUUAUUUUUAAUACAAUAUAAAAAAAUUUCAAGGGUGUGAAAAUACACAGCAUCAAACGAUAUUAUCAAUCCAAAAUAUUGGAACACAACCCAACCCAAUAGAUAAAAAAAAAACUCCAAUUUAUGUCACUCUAGAAAUCACGUGUUCCUUACGCUUCUAACCUUUCUUCUUCCCCAUCUCACUAUUUUUCUUCCAUCCUACCAUUUCUCCAUCACUCAGUACUGGUCUGAUUGGCCUCAAGCUCACAGAGGGGAAGAUAGAUCUGUAUCGAAGAUGUGUGUUUGUGAAGAAGAAAGUUGUUAAUGUGUAAUUAUGUAAAUUUACAUGUCAUUGAAAAACAAAUUGUUUGAUUCGAUUUUGCUUUGCCGUGAAAGCUUCAAUUUGUAGCUUUGAGAAAACCCACGUUUGGGGCCAAACCCGCGUUUCAGAGAAUUGAUUCUGAAACCCAUCCAAACAUCAAAAGUAUGUUGAAACAGCGUUUCAAAAAGCAAACUGGCUUUUGAGGCUAUUAGACGUGAUACCAAACAAGCACCAAGUGAUUUUCAUUAUUUACAUACUUCCACUCCAUGCUAAUUAAACCAUUUUUCAUUCUCCGUAUGUUUCUACUUUAUGAUAGUUAAACGUUUUUAAUUCUCUUAGGCUUUGUUGAAGACUUGUUUGCCGUUUAUGAGAUUUUGAUAACAAUCUUAAAUUUAUUGCUGCAAUAACAUGUGGUUGGUCUCAAUGGAAAGAGACUCAAACAUCUUAAACCCUUGGAAGGGGCUGCUAAUUGGCAUUGCUAUCAAAAAAUUUAUGGUUGCCAUAAUCAUGAUCUAAAUCAGUUCAUCUAACAAAAUCUAAAUAAAAAAUUGUGAUCCAUAAAGGGCUGCUAAUACUUGCUACCCAGUUGGAAGGGCUGCUAAUAUUCAUUACUCCUUUCUGUAUUAAAAAAAUUGCCAAGAGUUGGAAGGGCUGCUAAUCACAUCAUUUUAGCAAACAGACCAUCGAUGUCAAGAGUUGGUUUAAGUAAUUGAAAACGAUAGAACCCAAAAUCACAUGCUGUAAAUGUUACAUAACCUCUCUCCCUUUUCUCUAUUUAGAAUUACUCAAAUCCCUUUCGCCUAAUGGUUUUCCAUCCCCUCCCCACCAUCAAUUCUAGAAGACAAUUAUUGUGUUUUGUUUUCAUUCCAGUUGCUAGUUUUCAAAUGCAGAAUUUUGACAAACAAAAAAAAGAACACAGAAAUUGCUUUCAAACAAUUAGGAGCGCAAAUGAGCCAAGCAGAGUGAUUGAAGUUUAGAUUUGACUUAAAAAAAAAAUGAAUUACUCAGGUUUGACUCAUUUAUUUGAACAAUUCUAACUAAAAUCUUCAGCUUGACAGACAUACAUUUAACUACGUUGAUGCUAAUUAGUUCAAGCUAACUUGACAUGCCAACUUCAAAAGAAGAAAACAGUCAUUUCCGUCCUGUAAUAACAUAAUGCAUUGGCACAAAAUCUUUUAUUAAUGAAAGCGAACAGUAUUUACAUUCUCUAAGAAAAUAUAAUAACAAAAGGAAUGACAGACAGGAACAAGGAUUAAGGAUUUUGCUACUAUCUACAGCCAAAACUCUAUUGUGCAUGCCAUUAGCAUGAGGAGAGUUUGCUUGUAUAGAUUCUCCAUUUGGUUUCUGUGUUGAGUCUUAACUAUUUGUAGCCAUACCAUUGGCAUUAGGAAAGAUUACUUGUAUAGAUUCUCUAUUUGCUCCUUGUAUUGAGCCAUAAUUCUAUCCCUUCGAAUUUUCAUUGUGGGUGUCAUUAGCCCAUUAUCAAUCUGUCAUUAUAGUAAAACGUUAACCAAAUAUGUCAAUGGAAAUAAUACAAAGAAUCAAAUCUGUUAAGUCUAACCGUGAAGGGAUCAUUUACGAGAAGGAUUGGCCCAAUUUGAAAUGGAAACUCGGACGUCCUGCAUGAUAAUGGGGGAGAGAUUCAAUUUUCAGAUAGAAAAUAUUUGAUAUGUUUCCCAUUCGUGACACCCCUGACCAUGUACUGAAUUUCACUCACAAUAAUUUUUUUUUUUCUUUGGUAGAUAGACGAAAUGGCAAAGCCAUUAUAAACUCACACACACAAGUGGAGGAACCGGGGUUCGAACCCCGGUCAUAGCAUCCGGCCUAACAAUUUCGACAUUUUGCCAGUUGAGCUAGGACUUCUGGAUCACUCACAAUAAUUUAAUUAGAGGUAAAAAAUAAUAUUCUCUUCCAUUCUCAUAAACUUCAACUUAAGCUAAUAUUAACCAUUAUAAUAAAAAACUGCUCUUCCUUGUAAACACAAACAGAAGAGUGACAAGGACUUACCAGGUCCUUAAUUCAUUAUAUAUCAGACUGGUCACAUUUUCCUGACUGAGAUCUGAACUAUUGGAAUCUAUAAUUGACAAUUCCCUUGCUGCCUUUAAGACUUCUUUGUUGGGAACAACUACAGCUCCUAGACGUCGCUUAUCCUAUAUGUCCAAAUAAGUGAAAUUAUUGCAUUUUGCAAUAUUUUUUAUACAGUUUGUAUGUAGGCCUUGAACCAAAAAAAUUUAAAGACGUCAAAAUUUAAAUUAACCUGGCCAAUGACAACAAUUUGUUGUAUGAGACUACUCCUCAUCGCAGCUUCUUCAAGUUCUACCGGUUCAACAUUUUCACCUUCUCUUAUUGAAACACAUAAGGCAAAAUGAUUAUCACCACCCUUUUUGUGCAGAGAUAAAAAAGCAUUGUUGCAAUUAAGGGUCAAAAAAUGGAGUGAUGAUCGUAAAAGAUCCUCGUAGACAGUAGACACAUGACAGCUAAGAAAUCCAUUAGUUACAAGUGACAAGGUUACUUUUACCGGAAGUGUCCAUUUCUUUUUUUGGAUCAAUCCGGAAGUGCCCAUUGUCCCGAUAAGUAAUGUCUCCUCCCUUUCUGUAUGUUUGUGUUAUGUUAUGUGUGCUUUCUAUUAAUAAACAAUAUUAGAAUAAUAUUUGAGACUAAUUUAGUUGAUACUCAUUUACUGUCUUUAAGGUGUAAUUAUUUGGUUUCAAUUGCUUUCAAUUAUAUUUCCCUCUUUAGAUGAUUUCCAGGGAUUUGGUGUAAUUACCCUGAUGUAGGACAAGCUGUACAUUGUGUAUAUAAAUCAGCCUUUGAGCAUCAAUAUGAAUAACACAUUCUGCCUCAUCCUAUUUCUUUAAACAAACAUACCGAAAGGGAGGAAUAUUACUAAUAGGAUUCAAAGAUCAGCAAACACAAACUUCUGUUCUACCUGAUGAAAGCACAAUGGUGUCUUUAGCACGACCUUCAACAACAAUCACACCGCCACAAUUACGACUCCGUCCAGAUGAAUGGUAGGCAGCAAUCCAACCUAUGUCACCAGUAUUCAGCCAGCCAUCCUUGUCUAUGGCCUGAUUUGUGGCUGAAGGAUUCUGAUACAAGAAUAGAGAUAUGUAACUGACACAACUUUUUUUUGGUAAAGUGUAACUGACACAGCUUGAUCCAGCAUAUGUCAAUAAGACCCCAUGACAUGAAUAUGAUCUGAGCUCUUAAGUAAACAACAGUUUUGACCUCUAUAGUCAUUACACAAGUUACGAGUAGGUACAUCAGGGAAAAGGUGUUAAUGACAAACAAAACUCUUCGUCUCAAGAAUACUAAAAGAGCACUGGAUUAUGAGCCUUUUAUAAUCCCUUGUCCCAAUUGUCAAGUUUGGAAGACAAUCAAAUCUUUAUUAAUGAAUAAAACUAUAACACCAGUAUAAAAGAGCUACUUUAGAAAGCCCGAAAUAUAAAAGUAAUAUAUGUGCUAUAGGUGUCCAAUAAGAAUGUUAUAUACUUUUUCAUAUACAUGCACUCUCUUUCUCUCUUUCGUACGCAUGCACACACACAUUUAUAUAUGCAGAGACAAGAGACAACAAGUUUGCAUUUUUGAGAAAAUAGAUUACCUUGUAGUAUCCCUUCAUCAAUUGUGGGCCCCUGACUUUCAAAAUUCCCUUAUAACCAGGUGGAAGAACUUCACCAGUUUCAGAAUCUACAACUUUAAACUCUGUAUGCUUAAGUGGAUGCCCGACAGAUCCGAUAACCUUUAAAAGAUUGGAUUUGAAACAUUUUCAUAUAAAAGGCACCACUCUUUGCUACUCAACUUAAAAACUAAUUUAAAGAAUGCAGACCAUGUAAUUAUGAAUACCAAACUCAAGAUAGAACAAAGGUUUACACUGUGCUUGUUAAAAACAAAUUAAGUAGAAUGGACAACUUUUCCAGAAAGAAAAAUAAUUAAGUACAAUGGCCCAAAUACAUUUAAUACCAGGUGAGGGACAAACAUAGCUCAUCUCAACCCGUCCCUUAACACCCCUAAUCAGAGUGCUGUAGCUUUUAGCCACAAUCUGGUUCAACAUUCUCAUGUUAAUCACCAAGAGUUUGACUUGUAGAAUGUUGGUGAGAAGGUCCUCAACAAAUCACUUUUAGUUAGUAGUGUCUGUCAAUGUUAAUUAUUCUGACCUGGUAGUAUCAAGAAGGUUUUGUACCAUGUAUAAAUACUGCCACUCAGAUGGGAAAGAUCAAAUGUAGCCAUAAUCAAAUUCAGUUUACACGGUUAUCACAAAUUCUUGAUGUUCUCGAAACUUGCUUAAAUAACUCAUUAUCAGUAGAAUAACAAGUUUUAAGUUGCCGAAAGGAAAGGAAAAACAUUUAUGUUUAAAAUAAUGGUACUUGGCAUGAUAUCAUGCAGUUUAUAAUAUAUGGCUUACAUUACAACUAAGUCGUCGAGCAGCAAUAACUGGUGAAGUUUCUGUUAAACCAUAUCCGUUCUGCAAUGUCACACCAAUUGCCUGCAUAUAUGAUUAAGAAAAUGUGAGAAGAAUGCCAGAAAUACAAUUCCUGCUUGAGAGUAACAAACGUGAGAAGUAUCAAACCUCGAAAAACCUAUCGACGUGAGAAGGUAAGCUACCACCACCACUUAUUCCAGCCUGCAGAGAUCCAAAAGGUUUUGCUUAUCAUGAGCAUAGAAGUGAUCCACUUCUAAAAUCAUAUGGUAUGUAGUACAGUUUAAGAGAAUACAUUAUACCAUCAGAUAAGAGGGAUAUUGAAGGGAAUUCCCUAAUAUACAUGUAUAUGAAGAAUAUAAUGUAUAAUAAGAAUCCCAAAUAAUCCCAAAAAAAAGGACAGGAAAGAGUGUUUUUUUUUUUUUUUGGUGGUGGCCGGGGUUUGAACCCCGGACCUUGCAUAUAUUAUGCAUUGUCCAUACCAACUGAGUUAAGCUCACAAGGACGACAGGAAAGAGUAUAACUACAAUACAACUGUUACCUAUACUUUGACUUGCUCCUAACUACUCCGUCGGUUAUUUUUAUCAGUUUAACUAUUUAGUUAGAUGUUAAUUCUGUUAUAUAUUGUUUACCAGCUGUUAUCCUUUUAUUUUAUUAGCCACUUCCUUGUAUAUAUAGGGUGCUAUCUUUCUUGUGUAAUUGACGUGAAUGCAAUUCCAAUAGAGGUAUUAUCAGAAAAUUCCAGGAUAGAUUUUUCUUCUGGCUCUGAUUCUUUGGAUGAACAAUUAAGAGUUCAUCAUUUUCUACAACAACAAAAAAGAGGAAACUGAGAGACAAUUAACUUAUAAUUAUCUAACUACAAUUUGCACAUUGGUUUCUUGAUCCUUUCCAAAACUAGAAUCAAUGUCUACUUAUGCUUGGAUUGUCUAAACAGUCUCUUGAAAACUCCUUUCUUAUUAUCUAACCAAAGGGACAGUACCAUGGCCACGUCUGUCUUCUACACAUUACAUUUUUUACUUCUUCUGUUGCAGCCAAAAAAAGAUCGCACCAUAGUAGAAGAGAAGUUGAUCUCAGCCAAGAAGACUAAUAAAGGUGUUUUUUUAUAGUGCAGUCAGAAUAGCAUCACAACCAAAACCUUCAUCUUGAAGGUUCCCUCUAUUGACAACAUAUGCAUUACUACCACACACAGGCCUUCUUAAAGUUAUUUUUGAAAUAUAAGCUUCAUAUAAGUCUUGCCAGACUUUACAAAGUUCAUUUACAUAGAAAUAACUACGAGAAGCAACAUGGUUGAAAAUGUUAUAGCAGCAAAACAAUUGACAGAAAAAUAUGAAUAAACUUUCUGCUAAACUGCAGCAGAAUAAUUACUGGCAAAAAAUUUCUUGCUAUAAGAAUAAUUAUCCGAUCAAGAGGUUAAUAAAAUCAAUAAGGGGUUGCUCAUUGAUUGCAUCCCAACAACAUUUUCGAAUUAAUUUGGGAACGUACUAAUAAACAGGAAAUGAUUUUUAAUAUGGAAAUAAGCUUGGUAAUUAAGACUAAGCUUUUUCCGAAGUCAUAGACAGUGAGUCAGUAUGGCCUAUCACAGAGAAGACGAAACAAAAAUAUUAAACUUAACAACAAAGCAUAGUAAAGAAUACAAGACCUUAGAGAAUCCAAUAGCUGAAUGGAUUUUACUGUAGACAAGUUUCUUUGCCAGCAUAUGAAUUGGAAAUAAUAUUGUGGCAAUAAUUCUUGCCCCUAGCCAAUCCAACAUUGCAUAGAGAUACGAAGGCGACUUCUGGUUCUUGGUUAAACAUUUAC
rnacentral:lncRNA from 1 species